GUGCUUGCUUUGGCAGCACAUACACUAAAAUUGUACAGAGAUGAUUAGCAUGGCCCUAAGCAAGUGUAACAUGCACAUUCAUAGUGUUAUUUUUUU
ensembl:snRNA U6 U6 spliceosomal RNA